GAUGAACGCUGGCGGCGUGCCUAAUACAUGCAAGUCGAACGAAGAUGCCGGAUGAGUAAUCGUUUGGUUAUCUUAGUGGCGAACGGGUGAGUAACGCGUUGGUGACCUGCCCCGAUGUGGGGGAUAACAGUUCGAAAGGACUGCUAAUACCCCAUGAGUUCUUCCAGGUUAGAUACUGGUUGAGGAAAGACUUCGGUCGCUUCGGGAGGGGCCUGCGUCCCAUCAGCUAGUUGGUAGGGUAAUGGCCUACCAAGGCAAAGACGGGUAGGGGACCUGAGAGGGUGACCCCCCACAAUGGAACUGAAACACGGUCCAUACACCUACGGGUGGCAGCAGUAGGGAAUAUUGCACAAUGGGCGAAAGCCUGAUGCAGCAACGUCGCGUGCGCGAUGAAGGCCUUCGGGUUGUAAAGCGCUUUUCGGGGAGAA
rnacentral:rRNA from 1 species